rnacentral:rRNA from 1 species
GGGGUUCCUGAGGAAGGUUCGUCCGCUCAGGGUAAGUCGGGACCUAAGGCGAGGCCGAAAGGCGUAGUCGAAGGACAACAGGUUGAUAUUCCUGUACCACCGUAAGCCGUUACGAGCAAUGGAGUGACGCAGAAGGGUAGUGACGCGGACCGAUGGAUGUGUCCGUCCAAGCAGUGAGGCUGGUUUGUUGGCAAAUCCGCAAACCGUAAGGCUGGGCUGUGAUGGGGAGGGAAAUUUUAGUACCGAAGGUCAUGAUCUCCAGCUGCCAAGAAAAGCUUCUAGCCAGGCGAAGGUGCCCGUACCGCAAACCGACACAGGUAGGCGAGCAGAGCAUGCUAAGGCGCGCGGAGUAACUCUCGUUAAGGAACUCGGCAACAUGACCCCGUAACUUCGGGAGAAGGGGUGCCUCGGUAGGGUGAAUAGCCCGAGGGGGCCGCAGUGAAAAGGCCCAAGCGACUGUUUAGCAAAAACACAGGUCUGUGCGAAGCCGUAAGGCGAAGUAUACGGGCUGACGCCUGCCCGGUGCUGGAAGGUUAAGGGGAGCGGUUAGGGGCAACCCGAAGCUGUGAACCGAAGCCCCAGUAAACGGCGGCCGUAACUAUAACGGUCCUAAGGUAGCGAAAUUCCUUGUCAGGUAAAUUCUGACCCGCACGAAUGGCGUAACGACUUGGGCGCUGUCUCAACGAGAGAUCCGGUGAAAUUUUAAUACCUGUGAAGAUGCAGGUUACCCGCGACAAGACGGAAAGACCCCAUGGAGCUUUACUGCAGCUUGAUAUUGGACUUUGGUACGAUCUGUACAGGAUAGGUGGGAGCCUAGGAAGCCGGAGCGCCAGCUUCGGUGGAGGCACCGUUGGGAUACCACCCUGAUCGUAUCGGAGUUCUAACCUGGUACCGUGAAACCGGUACAGGGACCGUGUCAGGCGGGCAGUUUGACUGGGGCGGUCGCCUCCCAAAGAGUAACGGAGGCGCGCGAUGGUGGGCUCAGACCGGUCGGAAAUCGGUCGUCGAGUGCAAUGGCAUAAGCCCGCCUGACUGCGAGACAGACAAGUCGAGCAGAGACGAAAGUCGGUCAUAGUGAUCCGGUGGUCCCGCGUGGAAGGGCCAUCGCUCAACGGAUAAAAGCUACCCUGGGGAUAACAGGCUUAUCUCCCCCAAGAGUCCACAUCGACGGGGAGGUUUGGCACCUC